UGUAAGCGUAUACCAAAGUUGUUGCAGUUAAAACGCUCGUAGUCGGAAUUUGGCAGUUCCGGAAGUGUGCACGUCGUGUGCGCACUUUGCGGGGACUGCUUUUGUGGUCUUGCGUAGGAUGAGGCACUUUCAUUAGUGAACGUCCUCACGCAACCACUCUUUACUGUGAGAAAAUCAGAGUGCUCAAAGCAGGCAUUUGCCGUGAAUGUAUUAGCAUGGAAUAAUAGAAUAGGACUCGGUUCUAUUUUGCUGGUUUGUUGGGACUGAGUAAUGAUUAAGAGGGACAGUUGGGGGCAUUUGUAUUCCGGCGCUAGAGGUGAAAUUCUUAGAUUGCCGGAAGACAAACUGCUGCGAAAGCGUCUGCCAAGGAUGUUUUCAUUGA
rnacentral:rRNA from 1 species